CGGGAGCGAAGGGAGGGCCCGGCCCGGCGGGAAGUGCGCGCGCUGGAGCCGGGAUGCGCCGGUCCCACCGCCGACGGCGGCGGGGGCAGGAAGGGGGCGGGCCCUGAGGGCGAGGGCGCGGUCCUCAGGCGGGCGGGGCCGCGAACAGGCCCGGGCGGUGCUUCCCCCGCGGCGGGCGCGUCCCGCCCCCCGGUGCGGGGGCAGGGCUGGGGCCGUGCCAGGGCAGCGAGGCAGGGGUUGAGCGGGGUCUGUGUCCGCAGGUGAGCCCAGUGCGGAUGCGGCGGCGGGGCGAGGGGCAGCGCCGCGGUCCUCGGGCGGUGCCGAGGAGCCGGCCCGGGGCGGGAGACACGGACUCCGGCGGAGACCUCCCGACGGAUCGGCCCGCCGCCCUUCGGAGCGGGAUGGAGGAGCUCGACAAGGAGGGAGAUGGUGCCGGAGGGAAGACCGCCUGGCAGCAGAGCCUGAGUCCCGAGCUGCAGCAGGGAUACCGAAUCCUGCGCGAGUUCCUACUAGAGAAGUACCGGCCUCUGACGGCGCCGUUCCUGGAGCCCCUCGCGGAUCAGGCAUUCUUUGGAGAAGAAGGCGCCGGCUCCCUCUCGGGCCAUAAGAGCGGCCAGUGCCUCCAGCAGUUGCCAGCUGGAAUAUGGCUGUUGAAGAUGGAAGAGAAAUUUUCCAGUGGGCAGUACACAGGGAUAGCAGAUUUCGUGUGUGACUUCCGGCUUAUGCUGGAGACUUGCUACCGGCUGCACGGUGUGGAUCACUGGCUCUCCAAACAGGCCCAGAAGCUGGAGAUGAUGCUGGAACAGAAGUUGGCGCUGCUGUCCCGGCAUUUAAGAGAGAAAACAUCAUUAGCUGUCACAUCUAGAGGAUGCUAUGGGCAGGAAGAUGAGAAAGGAACAGCAUGCAUUUCCACAAGACGUCGUUCCACACCUCGCAGUUUAGUAGGCUUGUCAACAGGCAUGUUUGAGUCUGUGAUGGUUCAGGUUCUAAGACAAGAGGAGCAGCUGAGAGCAAAAGAGGAAAAGAGGCAGAGAGAUCAAGAAAGAAAAGAAGCAGAAGAAGCUAGUCAGAAAGAAAUAGAAGAAUGGGAAAAAUCACUUUUAGCUCAAGCAGCACCUACAAAGAUGGAGACGAUGUGGGAGAUUCCAGCUAUUGGUCAUUUUCUUUGUUUAGCACAACAGAUUUUAAAUUUACCUGAAAUAGUAUUCUAUGAAUUGGAACGCUGUCUUCUGAUGCCUCAGUGUAAUGUUUUUUUAUCUAAAAUAAUGACUUCUUUGUUAAGUCCUCCUCAUCGCAGAUCUACAUUACACCGCAGGCCGACAUUUUCUUACAGGACUUGGGAAGCAGCACUGAGAAAGAAAGUACAACACUGGUAUACUGUUGUAGGGCAGACUGACAAUCCUAAUGGCGCUGCAGAAAAACUUGGCUUAUGUCCCCAGUUUUUCAAAGUGCUCGGAGAAGUUAAUCCCUUGGAGGAAAAACCAUUUCAUGAGCUACCAUUCUACCAAAAAGUGUGGCUGCUAAAAGGUCUCUGUGACUUUGUGUAUGAAACACAAAAGGAUGUUCAGGAUGCAGUGCUAGGUCAGCCUAUCCAUGAAUGCAGAGAAGUAAUUCUUGGUUAUGACUGCUUGGAGAAUGCAUAUGUUCAUUUUCCACAGUUCUGUGGUGCGGAUGUUCGGAUUUACAAACAGAAACCUUUUCAGGCUCCUGAAUUCCCAUCUCUUCCCAUCAAAGUUAAAAAAGUACCACGUAUUAAAUCUGAAAGAGUAAAACUUGAAUAUGUAGCCAAAAGCAAUGGGGAGGUCAAUUCUGUUGAUAGAGAACUGCUACAUCCUUCCAAGACAGAAGUAGAGAAAAGUAUGGACUCUGUUGUUGUCUGUCCAGAAAAGAACCUACAUUUAGGCACCUUUAGAGUCCCUACUGGGGAGAUAAACUGUGAAAUCAAAGCCUCAAGAGUCUGUGACAUCAAGAAAACUGUUUGUUAUAAAGAGAACUUGAAGAAUUUGAUUACUUCAAGUGAGAUUGUUGGUAUGGGUGGUGACUCUAGUUCAAGAGAAAUAACGGAUGGGGAGAAUGGACAAGGUUAUGCUGAAAUGGCCAGACUAAGGUCUGAUAUGAGUCCAUUCAAGGAGAACACACUGAAAGCUUGCCAGGUGCAUGUCAAUGGCACUUACAAUGAUUACCAAGGCACCAGUUACCAUAAAUCUGCUAAAGAAACAGUGCUAGAGAACUCACUGCAAAAUAAUAAGAAACUAAAUAAGAUACUAGCAAAAAAGAAGAAAAAAAAAAAAAAGAAGUUGAAGGAUAUUCUAAAUGAAAAUCUACAGAGAAAACUUGAUGACCUGCAAAGAAAGCGUGAGAUUCAUCUUCAUCCAUUCAAAUCUUAUAAAUCUGAGCUCCAGAACAAGUUGUUUAUAAUUAAAAAGAAAGCAAAACACAAGAAGCACAAAUCUGGAAAAAAAUCACUAUCUAAAAAAGCAAUCACAAAGAAGAGGAAGGGUGUCAGAAAGUCUACCAUACCAGAAUUUCAGCUUAUUUGCACUAAUCUUGAUGAACUCAGGGAAUUAAUCACAAAGAUUGAGAAUGAACUCAAAGAUCUGGAGGACAUUAAAAAGAAAUCGGGAAGAUGGUACCACCGGAAGCAAGCAGUAAAGGAAUUGCAUGGUACGUUGUUACGACUGCUUAAUGAACUGUUACCAUGGGAACCAAAGCUAAUUAAAGCAUUUCAAAGAAACAGGUCUAGAUUGAAGAAGGACUAUGAUGACUUUAAAAGACAUCCAGACCAUGAUAAAUUUACCAGAGAAUUGUGGAGUAAUGAUGAAAGUGAAGUUGAUUCUGGCAAAGAAUCUUUUGCAGUAGUAUGCGGUAAAUCAUCAGAGUCUCCAGAACAUACAGAAGUUCCCAAAAAAGAUCACUCAAGCAAUGAUGAAAUGAAACUAUUAGAGAUGAAUUUACCUGCAGGAAAAAACAGAAUUCUGAAAAAAGAAUCAGCUUCUAAAGAAAUCCAGAAGACACUGCCCAAAUGCAUUAAACGACAGUUCAAGCAAAAUAGUUGUCUGGAUCAAAGCACUAAUGAGCUCUCACCAAGGAAGAAAGCUAAGCUGAGCACUGUUGAGGCUGUGGUCCAGAGUUCAGAAAGUAGCCUGCAGCCGGAUAGUUGUUUAACUGAGCUAAAACAAUUUGAAGGGUCAAGUUUAGAGUUGUUUUCCUUGACAGAUCCUACAACAUCAGUAUCAAACUUUCUGAAAGGGACCAAACCCAUCCAGGCCUUGCUUGCCAAGAAUACUGGGAACAAAGUGACCUUAACAAAUCAACCAUCGCCUCCCCCAGGCAUAAAUGUAUCAACUUCUGAAAAGUCAGUUUUACCACCUUUGGAAUCAUCAGUGAUCAAACCAGCAUUGCCCUGCCAGGCCAGUUCAAAGACUCCCUUACAAAUGGUAUACAAAAUGCCAAAUGGUCAUUGUGUACCAAUAGACCUUCAUAACAACUCAGUGAAAAUUCAAAUGCAAACUGUGACUGACCCUAAAACUGGAGAAAAAGUCAUGCAACAAGUUCUUAUUUUACCUAAGAAUUUUCUUCUUCAGCAGCAGGAAGGAAAAAUUGUGUCCAAGGACGUUCAGCCACUACAACAAAAAUCGUCUGAGCUGCACUGUACAUCUUUACCAAAAGUGUCAAAUAUCAGUGUUUCUUUAACAUCUGUUCUGGUGACAGGCUCUGCAAAUACUACCACUCAGUCACCUACUACGAUUUUUAGCAAGAAUAUUACCCACUCGUCACAAGUGUCUAGUCCCAUGAACACUACACUAUCAUUGCCUGAUGUAACUUCAGCAGGUAACUUACUAUCAUCAAAAAUUAAGGUGAACCAAACUGAAACUGACAAAAUCAAGACUACAGUUUUGACUGCUACAUUCCCUGUGUCUUUGACUUCAUCUACUCUUUCCACAGCUAGCCAGUCCUUGAUACCAGCAACAGCUUUAAGUGGGUCUGCGAACACUGAUUCUGCCUGUCAUAGUCUUGCAUCGCAGCAGCCAACUGACUCCUGUGAAACUAGGCAAGAGUUGAAGACUGUAUGUGUAAGAGAAUCACAAUCUAUUCUGGUCACAACACGAGGCGGAAACACAGGCAUUGUUAAAGUGCAAACAAACCCAGACCAGAUUUCACCUAGUAGUUUAUCUUCUAGUUCAGUUUUCACUUACACUUCUCAACUUCAGGCCUUUCUUGUGCCAAAAACCACAGCAUUAACAUGCUCUACUCUUCCAUCUCUAGCAACAGCUACGUCUGGUUUCCCACAUAUUGGACAAUCAUCUCUUUCUGGAUUUGCCCCCUCAACAGCUUCUUCUGUUAACAUUCCAGCUUUCCCCGCUGAUUUUAACCAGGCAAUGGAGAAAAAUAUCAAAUUCACACUACAGCAGCCUCCUGUUGGGGACACUUUAGGUCAAGUAAUAGAGAACUCCUGCUAUGUGUCCUCUCCUUUAUCUUCCAUUUCAUUAGCUAGCAAUGUGAUGUCCACAACUCCAAACAGUCCUGUUAGUGUGACUAGCACUGGACAAAAUAAUGCUGUCGUAACUCCAAACUCUUCUGUACAGCAUCAAGGGGAUACUAAAACCAAAACAAAUUCUGUUAUACAGUCUGAGUCUAAUUCAGCAACAAGUGGAGAUUUAGUCAGUGGUACUCCAGUCCAGAAAUUUACAUUAGUUACAAAUUCACCAAUUUUAUCUCCCUCUGGAGCAUCAGGAGUCAGUAUUAUACCCUCUCCAGCAUCCACUGCUGUUAAUGCUCAGAAGCUGGUUUUUGUUAACCCACAAAUUGCCAGUGGCCCAUCAACCACCAAUCUAGUUGCAGAGUCAUUGAGACAGAACCUUCCUUCUUCCCUAACCAAAACCUUUGUUAAUUCCACAGAGCAACCACAUUUGGUUUUGAUCCCAUCUACAAUAGGAGCACCAAUAAGAAUAAAUUCAUCACCAACUAUUGCUCAAGUAAAAGAUGUAAAAAUUGGACUAAAUAUAGGUCAGACCAUUGUAAAUACUAAAGGCAAUGCACAGGAGGCCCCACCAGUUAAUAUGUUGCACUCUACCAUUUCUAAAGGAGAAGACAAAAAGAGCAUUGGCUUGGCGCUGUCUUUGACAAGUAGCAGUACUGUGGUUCCUGCUCCAGCUUUUGCUGUGUCAUCUAAUGAAUCUGUAUGUGUUGCAACAAAAGCUGAAAAUGCCUUUACAGUAACAACAGCAAAUGCAUGUGUAGAAUCUGUUUCAGUAGCAUCAAGUGGGACUUCUUCUGGGACACGGCCCACUGUCUUGACUGGCAGCAGUGAUCCCUCAAGAAUAAGGCCAGUUCUGGGUAAUCGACUUUGUGCAUCAAAUAUUGGAAAUAUGGGUAUAUCGACUGUGAAAACAGGGCAUCUUGCUUCAUCUGUGCUGAUUUCAACCACACAACCAACAGUAUCUCCUCAAAACUUACCAUCUGCUUUGCAAUUUCCAUUCAUUAGCUUGCCUGGAUCUGCAGCCGCCCCCAAAAAGGUGUUACAUACAGUUCCUCAGUUAGCAACAGUUCCAGCUCCUCUUCCAGUAUCGAAAAGCCAGUUGCCCACACUGCUUCAGUUUCAGUCAUCAGGAACUUCAGCUGGUAUGUCAAGUCACACAGGUAUUCACAAACCUCAGAGUGUGUUGCCCUCUCUGUCACCAAAUACAGAUGAAGGCAAUGAAGUACUGAGUUGUCAUAGCAACAUGGAGGAACUGGGAAUAGAAUCCUUGGUCCCCUGAACUCCUUCCAGCAUCCCAUCCAUUACUAAAGCAGUUCCAAGUUUUUUCUGAAUAUGUUUACCAGAUGACAAUCCUAAAAUUCCUCCUGAAAACAACUGCACAAGCAAAUCCAGCGCUAAACGGUAUCUAAAAAGGGCAGCUGUUUUGCUCCAGAGUGUCAGGAGCAAUGAGAUGGUUGGGGUGUAUAUGAUGGUGUGCAGAAAUAAAAAUCAAUUACUUCUGCCAAGAUAUUUUUCCAUGGUGGUGCUCAGUGACAGGACCAGAGGCAAUGAGCACAGACUGAAACACAGGAGCUGCUCUGAACAUCAGGAAACUUUUUUUUCUGUAGGAGUGACUGAGCACUGGCACAGAUUGCCUGGAGAGCUUGUUGGGUCUCCCACACUGGCGAUACGCAAAAGCUGUCUAGACACAGUCAUGACCAACCAGCUCUAGGUGGCCCUGCUGGAGCAGAGGGUUUCCCUCACAAAUUCUUAUUUCCAGAGUGGGAAAGGAGGGAAGACACCUUUUAAGAGCAUUGUUGGUUCUAGCUGCUCAUGAAAUCAAAAUAUACAUCAAAUUUCAAAACUCCUACCACUAGCAGAUAAGGGUUCUGAGUUGCUGCUGGAAGAAAGCCAUAAAGCCAUAAAGUCAUACCCUGUAGGAAGCCAGUCGUUACAUACAUCCAGACCAUGUUGAAUCCAAAAAAUCCCAGUGCCAUUCCUGAAAAAGCCAGGAGUCCUCCAGUGAUCACAACUGCCCGAUGGGUGUAUCGUACACAUAAUGAACUGGCAACAGGGGCUGGAUCAGCAGCAAAAUUGGAGAAAGAAAAAUACAUUAGGAACAUUAAGCUGAUUGACAUGACCAAAUAAUCAAAUAAAUCAAAUAAAGUACCCUUAUAACUCUUGUCUCAAGCAGACUUAAUUCUUCUGGAUGGAGCAGGACAUCAAUUGAAAUUUCAAAAUUGGAUCCUUACUGACAGGGAAAUGACUCUCCCUGGUGCUCAGAUUUUUAAAUAUAUUCAAAAUAUGUAAUAGUUUUUAAACGGAAAGAGCCCUUCAGUGCCUUCCUUGCAGGACAGUUCUACUGAAUUUCAUGUAAGGAUACAACUAGCAACGUGACAGAAACUAGUGUAGAAUUUUAGCAGAAAGUGAAACCUCAAUUUUAUUAUUGAGACUGUAUUAUUGAUAUGGCUGGCAUGGAAACUUUCUAGAGGAAAAUAAACUUUGUCUUCUAGAGUUUUGCAAAAUCAUAUCUUUAUGGAAUUACAAAAGUUUAUAAAGAACAAAAAAUCAGUGUUUAUUUCGUGGUAAUGCUUUUUACAGGAAAUUUGCAGUUCAUUUCUUAAAUCUUUAUUUUAGUGGUACAGUUUCUCUCAGCAGAGUGCAGGGACUGUUCAGCACGAGGGCAAAAAUGUAGUAGGUACAGAUCAGAGAGGGCAGCAACUGCUUUAUCUCUAGUCACUAUCUGGAAGCACCUGAAAUGUCAGUGAUAUUUUUGCUUAAUUAAGGAUCAGUUAUAUUGCCUCGCUGUUUUUCCACCUGCAUCACAGAGAUGAGGUCAAGGCCGUAAGAUUUCUUUAAAUAGCCUUGGCCACUAGGGGACUCCCAAGUACCACCUGGCAUCAGUCGGCUCCUUUCGAUACAUUAAUGAUCUGGGGACUGGAAUUCAGUUAACGAGGACCAUGCUUGUAAAUUGAAAUACAUAGGAAGAUAAUGAAGAGAGAGCAGUCAGCAAGGAAGGUUUCAUAGUAGUUUGUAGGGGCAGGUUGUUGUAGGUUCACCUGUAUUAGGAUCAGAAUUAAGAGAAUUUGGUGGCUAGGGUGAGUGAAAUAAAUCUGGUAGAGUAAUAACGGCUGCAAAAUGUGCAGGAUGUACAUUGUCUGAUAGCAGACAGACCUGGCAGAAGUUAUACAAACCCCAGAUGUCUCAUCAGCAUUUACAGCAAAAAUAUGAUGAUUUUAUAAACAUGUAAAAAUUAUGCCAAAAUUCAGUCAUGGUCUCUAAGAUGUAGUGGAUGAGACAUGAUAAAGCAUAUACAGUUGGAGAAUCAUACGUUAUGAUGAGAGAAAAAAAAAAAAGAGAAAAGUAGACUCAGGAUAACUUCCAUGAAAGUGCUUAAAGAGAAGAGAGAAAUCUGCAGUUGGAGCAGAAAUACUAUCAAACCCCAAAUUUUAAAUAAUGAAAAAGGAGAAUAGAUAGGCAGAAAUUGAACAUGGGGUAGAAGGAGAAAAAAAGAAGCUAACCACAGAACUGGAAAUGGGAAAAAUAGCUAGAUUCCACAGUCUGAAAGGAUAAAGAGUAACACAGAGAAAACUUACAAGCAAUGAAAAGGGAUUAUAAUCACAGUGCAAAGAGAAAGGUGAGGGGACAUGUACGUCAGUACCAAGAGAAAGCCUAUGAAUGUGACGGGGAGAACCCUUGCUCUGGUAAACUGAAUAGCCUGUUGCUAGUGCAAACCCUGGGAGUAGAAGCACAUGCUCUCCUUCCAUACAAGAACAGAGCUGAUGUUGGAAGGAUCCAGACACGACAAAAUAAUAAUUCAGUGAUCAUCCUUCAUACUGAACCAAAUGACACUGAAGGUUUCCCAGAAGAACACGAUAAGAAAGACUAAGCCAGGCCUGGAAAGAUGCUCAAAGAACUGGAGGUUCAGAUGAUCUUAAGCAGAAAGUCUUCUGAUCCCUGUAAAUGAAGCAAAGGCAGGAGAAGAUGAGGACAAUUAUAUACUGACCUGAGACAUUACAAACUGCUAUACAGAGGGGUUUUGGAACAUUUGGCCAUCAAGCUGUAUUCACUGAAGGAGGGUUGUUUUCAUAUGAUCUCAAAGGAUCAAAAACAAUUUCUGAAAAUUAUAGCUGCCUUCUUGGAACUAGGCUGGCCUCACACCUGGCUAGGAAAAUACAAUUUUGCUGGUUUAUAUUUGACAUUUUUAAUAUGCUCUAUUCCUUGAUACAUUCCUAUAUAAUGUAAAUAUGUGUUAAAACCAAAACAAAACCUAACUAAAACAGGACUUUGAGUUCUUUUAUCCUCUUAUGUUAUUUUUUUUCUCAUUAAGUUUGUAUGCCUGAAUGACAAAAUAGUAUCACAGUAGGUCAGCGAUAAGUCUAAUUUGUAAACCAGAUUGAUAGAUUUAUUCAUGGCUGUGGUCUAUGAAGCAAGUUUUUCAAUUUUUUUUUCAAUUUUUUCUUUCAAUUAAUUAUUUCUGUCACUGCAAAACAGGCAUCAAGGAUAGCAGUUUAUGGAACUGAUAAAAUUUUUUCAACCCAUGACUUGCUUUAUCCUUUGACUUUGGAUUAUUCUUUGAUUUUUCUGAAUACAUUUUUUAAAGAAAGAUCAGUUGCUCAUGAUGUUUGGAAGUACUGCAAUUCCAAGCAGUAAUACUGAUAGGUGUGGACUGAGUAGGAUGCAUAUAAUUAUAUAGUGUCUAUGAAAUGAAGUGUCUUCACAAACAAAAUUAUGAUAGCAUUUAUUACGUAGGGAUAUUUACCUAUUACAACCAUAUAUCUAUAUAAGAACAUGUAGAGCAGACUUCACAAAUUCUGUACAUUUCAAGCCUGCACAUGUUUAGAAUCAUCAUCAUCAUGUGAAGGAUCAUGCAGUUUACAAGGGCGCAAAGGACUCUCUAAACAACCAAGCUGAGUCAAAUGCAGUAUGUUUUCUAUUUUCCUCCUCCAUUUGGUGAGAUAUGGUAUUUGGCCUGCUCCCAUAGCUCAUUGCCUUUGACUGGGAUAGUUCACUCUCUCUUCCCCUAUGUUCUGCUUGCGUGAUCUUGUCUUUCUUGUGCUCUGAGUGAACUGAUUUUUUUUUUCUUUUUAACUCUGUGAGUUUUCUGUUAGAUAAAUGACUUGCAAUCAUUCUAAAGGGGUUAAA